rnacentral:rRNA from 1 species
UACGUAGGGGUCGAGCGUUGUCCGGAAUCAUUGGGCGUAAAGCGCGCGUAGGCGGCCCUGUAAGUCCGUUGUGAAAGUCAAAGGCUCAACCUUUGAAAGCCGAUGGAUACUGCGGGGCUAGAGUCCGGAAGAGGCGAGUGGAAUUCCUGGUGUAGCGGUGGAAUGCGCAGAUAUCAGGAGGAACACCAAUAGCGAAGGCAGCUCGCUGGGACGGUACUGACGCUGAGGCGCGAAAGCGUGGGGAGCGAACAGG